AACAUAACUUCCGCAUAGGGCGCAUUUUGCUGAAGUAUUUGGAUUAUUUUUGCACAACGUUGUGCACCGACAUCUUGCUCACUGUAGAAUGUCGUUUUUCUCUCUUGGGACUUGACUGUUAUUUUCAUUUUGCAUAAGUAUUUAAUUUCGUAUAUGCUCAUAUUUUUUUCUUUAGGUUCUAGGUCUCAUGAAAAACAAAGGCACUGGUUCUUUUGUUUGACGAUGCCUGUCAUUUAGUAUAUUGCGGACAGUAUGGCCUUGUUUUUAUAGUACCACUUUUAUUUCGUCCGUGGUUACUGAGUGAUGUAGAUUUGGUAUUACUACCCUAUAGGCCAUUUCUUCUCUGAUCUGAUAUGUGAUAUACUAUUUUUUCUUACUGGAGCCGUCUGAUUACUUUCCGUUACGGUUCUGAUAUGGUCACAUUGAUUUUUAUUGUUUCAUUUGAGAGUGCUUUGCAGUAAUACUUUCCUUCUGGCUUGUUGUAUACGGGGGUUUAGAUCGUUCAGAUCGUUCGUAUUCUGUUGGUUGUUUAACUAUUAAGAUGGCGGACGAUACACCGGGAUUUAGAUUCUCUUGGACCUUUUGGUUGUUUCACAAUAUCACUAUUACGAUGGCGGUUCGAUUGUCUGUACGUGAGCAAUGUUGGGAAGAAAAUAACUGAUAUUCGCGAUGUUCCCAUUAUCGGGGUGUUCAAAUAAUAAACAGUUACCGGUAUCAAAAGGUUGUAUGUUGUAAAGUGAUUGAAAACUUGAGAAGAGUGUAAUAACAUCUUAGCAAUAGCAAACCGUCAAGCGGAGAAAGAAGCAAUUCUGACGGAAAUUAAUAUUUUAUAGAGAGUCUAAAAGCCCAGACUUAUAAUUGGCAGAAAGACGAGGAUGGUUGGUGCAAGGUAACUAAGAGUUGUAAAAGAGCAGAUUUAGUAAAUAGCCAAUCUAUAGCGGUAUCAAUCGUUUUCAACCUCUCGGUAACCUCAACGAAUCUGCUGGAAGACUCGAAGUGCAUGAAAAAAGUGUGGUAAAGCUGUAGUAGUGGAUAGGACGACAAAGAAAAAAUAAUAGUCACGCUAAAGGAAUAGUGAAAUCAGGUGCAGAUGUGGAAGUGAUAUUACGUUCUAAUAUGAAAGAAUACAUGAACUUAACUAAAAAGGAUUUUUUAAUAAUUUGGGAUGGUAUAAAAGAACAGAUUAAACACAUUUCAAGUGUUCACCGUAAUCAUUGGACUUCCAGAUCACGAUGCUCAGAGUUUGACUGUAUAUAAUGUUUUUAGUUGUCAAAAGAAAACAAAUAGAUUUGUUAAAAGAAGAAUUAUAAAAGAGGGGCAUUCGAUUGUGUUAACCAUGGUCUUUUGAUAUGAAAGUUGGAGUAUUAUGGAGUGAAAGGUUCUAUUUUGAAAUGGCUUGAAACUUAUUUAUAUAAUAGGAAGCAAAUAGUUGUUUUGCAGACUUGCAAUUCAGUUACCGCAGCAUCUGAGCGGAAAACUAGCAGGUAUGGUGUUCUCCAGGGAUCUGUUCAGGGUCCACUUAUCUUCAAUGUCUAUAUUAAUGAUUUCCCAAGUAUCCUAAAAAAUAUAGCGCAUACGAUUUUGUAUGCGGAUGAUACCACAAUUAUAGUUACUUCAAAUGAUAUAAAUACUUUGAAUGAUAAAUUAAAUAUAGUAAUGAAACACAUUUCUAAUUGGUUUCAAAAUAAACAUCUGGUACUUAAUUUGGGAAAAACUCAUUUGAUUAAAUUUACUACCCCAAAGCCUCUGGAAUAUACAUUAUUAGUAACAUAAUAAUUUAGGUCUUAAAGUUGAAGAUAAUGUUAAAUAUUUUUGGGUAUAUAUGUAGAUCGUCAUCUUAAUUGGAAACAACAAUCUGAAAAAUUAUUUAAAAAAUUGAAUACGGCAUGUUUCAUGUUCAGGAAGUUACAGUUCAUUGUUAGUGAGCAAGUCCUAGGAAUGGUCUGUUUUUCUCAUUAUCAGUCACAACUUGAAUGUGGUAUUAUUUUUUGGGAUUCUACCCCAGCAGUGAAAAGCGUUUUUGCAGCCCAAAAAUGGACAGUUAGGGUUAUGUUAAGAUUGAGUCCUAGAAGCUCUUGUAAAGAAGGCUUUAAGAGAAUGGGUAUUUUAACAGUUCCUUGUUUGAGUCCUAGAAGCUCUUGUAAAGAAGGCUU